rnacentral:rRNA from 1 species
AGAAUGAACGCUAGCGAUAUGCUUAACACAUGCAAGUUGAACGUUGUUUUCGAAUCAGAAUGAGAACAAAGUAGCGAACGGGUGCGUAACACGUGGGAAUCUGCCGAACAGUUUGGGCCAAAAUCCCGAAUGAAUAAAAGCUAAAAAAGCGCUGUUUGAUGAGCCCACGUAGUAUUAGGUAGUUGGUUAGGUAAAAGCUGACCAAGCCUACGAUGCUUAGCUGGGCUUUUCGGAUGAUCAGCCACACUGGGACUGAGACACGGCCCAGACUCCUACGGGAGGCAGCAGUGGGGAAUCUUGGACAAUGGGCGAAAGCCUGAUCCGGCAAUAUGGCGUGAGUGAAGAAGGGCAACGCAGCUUGUAAAGCUCUUUCAUCGAGUGUGCGAUUGUGACAAGACUCGAAAUAAGAACGCCCCGGCUAACUCCGCGCCAGCAGCCGC